rnacentral:lncRNA from 1 species
AUGGGUUGGUUCAACUUUAGAUAAACCCAUUUAAAAAAGACUAAGACUUUACCUAAAAAUUUUGGACUAUAACGAGUCUCAUAGACUAAUUAUUGAUUGCUUCAAACGCCAUCACCAAUAAUAGCUCUCUGUUUUUCCAUAUUCUUGAUGCUUAAACGUGAUAGGUUCGUGGGUGAAGAUUAGUGGAAAAUGAAGCUCAAAUGGAAAUGGAAAUGGUAAUGGAAUCUUGUAUAAUACAGUCAAGAUAUGAUAUUUUAUAAUAUGUUUUUAUAUCCCCAAGCAAUAAAAUAAAAUACCCAUUUCAUUUUGUUCUGUAACUCAUAAAAAAGAUGACAACUUGGGGGAUGAAUUUCCAUGGAGGAAAGAGAAACUGAGUUGAUGAAAGAAAAGGAUUUUGUCUGGCAAGCAUGAAACUACCAGUCAUAAUGUAUUUUUAUAUCCCCAAACAAUAAAAAACAAAAUACCCAUUUCAUUUUGUUCUGUAACUCAUGAAAAAGACGACAACUUGGGGGAUGAAUUUGCAUGGAGGAAAGAGAAAUUGAGUUGAGGAAAUAUAAGGGUUUUG